AAACUCAAAUGAAUUGACGGGGGCCCGCACAAGCGGUGGAGCAUGUGGUUUAAUUCGAUGCAACGCGAAGAACCUUACCUGGUCUUGACAUCCACAGAAGAAUCCAGAGAUGGAUUUGUGCCUUCGGGAACUGUGAGACAGGUGCUGCAUGGCUGUCGUCAGCUCGUGUUGUGAAAUGUUGGGUUAAGUCCCGCAACGAGCGCAACCCUUAUCCUUUGUUGCCAGCG
rnacentral:rRNA from 1 species